CCUACGGGGGGCAGCAGUGGGGAAUAUUGCACAAUGGGGGAAACCCUGAUGCAGCGAUGCCGCGUGGAGGAAGAAGGUUUUCGGAUUGUAAACUCCUUUUAUCAGGGACGAUAAUGACGGUACCUGAAGAAAAAGCUCCGGCUAACUACGUGCCAGCAGCCGCGGUAAUACGUAGGGAGCGAGCGUUGUCCGGAUUUAUUGGGUUUAAAGGGUGCGUAGGCGGUCCGUUAAGUCAGCGGUAAAAUUGCGGGGCUCAACCCCGUCGAGCCGUUGAAACUGGCAGACUUGAGUUGGCGAGAAGUACGCGGAAUGCGCGGUGUAGCGGUGAAAUGCAUAGAUAUCGCGCAGAACUCCGAUUGCGAAGGCAGCGUACCGGCGCCAGACUGACGCUGAGGCACGAAAGCGUGGGGAUCGAACAGGAUUAGAUACCCGGGUAGUC
rnacentral:rRNA from 1 species